rnacentral:lncRNA from 1 species
CCACAUUUUCCAUUUCUGAUAAAACACCCAAUAUGGGAGAUGCAACAUUUCCUCUUCAUAUUAAGUGAUAGAAUGUAAAAUAUUCUUUUCCUUUCUCCUUUUUUCCUACAAGUCUUUGAGGAUUAAGACUUAUGUGUUAUUUCAACAUAAUUUUUUCUAACAACUGAACUAUGGUAUUUCUCAAGUGUUUCUUAAUGCAGCAAAUUAUUUCAUGUACUCAUUUUUAUGAAUCUUUAAAAACAUUACUGAAUAUACAUAAUAAGUGGCAACUCUUCUUGUCUCUAGCCCUGUUGUCUCUUUAAAUUCACAUUUUCCAGGCUGGAGAUGUGGCUCAAGCAGUAGCGCGCUCGCCUGGCAUGCGUGCGGCCUGGGUUCAAUCCUCAGCACCACAUACAAACAAAGAUGUUGUGUCUGCCAAAAACUAAAAAAAAUAAAUAUUAAAAAAAAUCUCUCUCUCUCCUCACACUCUCUCUUUAAAAAUAAAUAAAUUCACAUUUUCCAACCACCUCUUGGACACAUUUGAAUGUCCUGCAGACACCACAUAUUCUUGGAAGUCAGUACUAAUCUCAGUGGCCUCUCCUCCAAAUCCAUCCUUCCACGUAUGGUACCAGAUGCUUAAAAUGACUCCUCCUUCCCCAGAAUCACUCAAGCCAAAAACCUGAAAUGCCUGAUUGACUCCUUCCUCUGUUUCUUCCUGCAUCCAACUGUUUUGACGUUCUGUUGCUUCAACAUUCCAAAACACUUUUAAUCAAGUUCCUCUUAAUCACUCUUCUGGCCCAGGGCUUUGUUAUUUCUCAUUCGAAGGUUGGAGGAGCCUCUUAACUGGUUUCCAGUUGAUUCUCUAAUCACAGCUACAAUGAACUACCAAAACACAAACCUCACCAUGGCACCCCUCUACUUAAAAUUACUCAUGUCUAUGUUCAGCCUACAGGAGGAAGUCUAGACUCCUGAGUAGGAAGCAUGGUCUUUUUCCAAAUCUUCAUGCAUUUUUUCUUUAACACCCCACCAAAUUCUGGCCACGCUGAAUAACUAAAUAACACCAGAACACAAUGUCUCCUCAUGUCCUUGCUUGCACUGGUCUUGCCCAUUCACCUGACCACACAAUUCUACUCAUUCAUUCUUUCUUGAGGCUUGGCUCAAUGCUCACAUCCUCUGUGACACCCCUCUGCAAAGCCUUCUUGUGUCUUUUACUUCCUGACUUCAGCCUCUUCUACUUCCUGUUCUUAGCCUAGUCCUCCCCAGUACUUAUUUUAUUCCUCUCUUAAAGCACUCACCACUCUGCCAAAUUGAUUAUCUCUAUAACCAUCUCCAUAUUCAGACUGUGAAUUCUUCAGGAUCUGAGAUUUUUCUUUCUCAUUCAUUUUUAUUAUUGCCAAUACUGAGUGCCAUGACUGAUGCAUGGUCAAUCCUCAAACAUUUAUUGAAUGACAAUUAGGAAACUGAUGAUUCUCUUACUUCCCUACCACUGAAAAUCUUGUUUUUCACAGUAUAGUUCAUUGCAUAGGAAAAAAUUCAGGAAGCAUACAAGAAGUAGAGAUGGCACUCCAAAUGUUUGAAAAUUUUAGAAUAUGGACUGCUGGGAAUGUUCAUAUAUUCUCAACAGCAAGGAAACACUAAGCUUAGAGUUCCCAUCUGGAUAACUAAAUGUACAAUCAUGGUUUCCUCCAUAAACUAAUUUGCAGAAAUGAAUAGCAGAUGGGUUACAUUAGUCCAUUGAUAGUGGGGAUAGUUACUUUAUGCUCAAAGGUAAUCAAUGUCUUUCCUAUUAAACUGCAGUAUGUUAAUGGAAUGUUUACAUUUUUGUGGUACUUCUUUAUAGAGGAGCACUGUACUAUUCUAUAAAAUGUAAAUGAACAUUGCUUUCCACUGCUGGGUAAUUACUCCAGGAUCCAUUUAAACAAAAAUACCAUUGUAGAGAAAUAACUACAAAGAAAGGCAAAAGUGGAUGGAAUAGCAGUUGUCCCAUUUGCUGGCUGGUGUUUGGUUUAUAACAUUUGGCACAUCUUGAUAUCUACAUAAUAGUAGUUUUAAAACCAUAAAUAAUAUUUUACAGAGGUCACACCAUAGUUAUUUAAGUUCAGGGGUUUAUUUCCCUGAGCACUAAGUAGCUAUGAAUGAAUUAUGUUUAGUCUGAUCUGCCACAGAAGGACCAUAAACCUCCAAGUCAUAGCAAACCAUGGAAUAUUGCUUCAAUACGUCAGGAAAAUUGUACAUGUAAAAGAAUAAUGCAUGAUAAGGGAAAGGUAUUUCUAUUUUUUUAGAGUAAUAUAUGUUCCUGGGCAGGAGCUAUAAAAAUUUGUUAUGUUAAACUUUCCUCUGAUUCUGGAAAACAAGUUAAGAAAUGGCUUUGCAUAGUCUUCCCUAAGCCAGCCAAGCAGGCUGUGGAAGCCGAGAAAGAAAUCAGGAAGGAGAGUGUGGCCCUGAAAAAGGAAUAGCCUCUCCUCCUGAGUUCCCUGAACCUCAAAAACACAAAAACAAAGAAAAGUUGAAAGAUCACAGAGUACUUUUACAAAUCCCUCAUUCCCCCAGCAUUCUUUUCCAGGGGCUCCAGAAAAAAAUGUUUUUGUAGAUACUAGGAAAUGUAGAAACAGUUUUAGCAUUAAGAUGCAAUCCACUUUUAAAAUCAAAUCUAGUUAAAAUGCUUAUAUAAAAUAGUUGAGCACUUACCACAUGCCAGACUAAGCAAUUUCCCUUGGUUUUCACACUUCCUCUUUACAACAACCUGAAUAGUAUUCCCAUUUUGCAAAUGCAGAAAUAGGUUUGGAGAGAAUCUGGUCCAAGGUUACAGAGCUUGUGGGAGACAGCCGGGAUUCCAACUGAGGGAAGUAAGACUCCAGAAACCUCCCGGGUAUUCAGAGUCAGGGGAGACAAUGGAAAUAGCUUAGGUUUGUCAGGCACUUUUGCAGGCAAUCUUCUAAGCAUGUUGCCUACAUUAUCACAUUGUAAUCCUCACAACAAUCCUAAGAAGUAGGUCCUAUUAUUAUCUGCAUUUCACAGAGGAGGAAGCCAAGGCUCAGAGAGAUUAAAUAACUAGCCCAAGGCUGCACAGAAAGUAACUGAAGGCAGGCAUUCCAACCAGGUCCCCUGGCUGAGGGGCAAGCUAAUAAUGUUAACUAUGAAUUGUCAAGACUAAUCCUGUGAAAGAACAAGAACAGUCUAGAUGGUUGUAGAAAAGAAUGGGGGUUGGGGAGCUUAGAGGUGCAAUGGAUCCUCUCUUGACCUACCCCAAAGGAAGAAUUCCUAUAAGGCUUUGGUCAUUUGGACAGAGUGAUUUUUGUGCAAGGAUAGACAACUAGGCCAAUGGAACAGAACAGAUCCAUAAGGAAAAACACAGGAAAGCUGUCAUUUAGGAGUAUGGUAAUCUCUGAGAGAGGAGGACAUAAUAGUAUUCUAUUUCUUAAGCUGGGAGGUGGAUACAGUGGUAUCUGUUUUGCUAUUAUUUUUAAAUUGUCCAUAUAUUAUAUGCAGCACUAGUACUGAAAAAAUACUAACAGCCUGGACAUUUCCCUCUGUUACAAUCUGUGGUGGGGUUCUGAGACUACAUUUCAUUACAAGUUUAAUUUCUCAUUUCUGUACUGUUUCCAGUACUAUUAUAGACUAAAUUUACCCACAAAGUUACAAUAACUCAUUCUUAAGCAUUCGUUACCUCGUUAAGGAAAUUGGGAAUUUUUUAAUUUACCAUGUUUUUUUAAUUUAAUAAUAAAAAUAAUAAAAAAGACUAGUGCCCAAUGCACUUCAUUUGAAUUCAAAGUUAAAAGGAACAAAGACACGCCUGCUGGUCAGUCCCUUGAAAUUCCGGUGAGGCUGGCAUACCAGGUUGGUGCAAACACCAUCUGAAGGAAGCAAAACUCCGGCCAGCACUAGCGUGGAGAGGUGGCUUUUGUGUUAUAGGAUGCAGCCAGAGGACCGACACCUCGACAUCUCCUUAUUGUCUUUCAUCAGAGCAGAAAGCUGAAGGAAAUCUAAUUCCUUUGCAUGUCCUAGGACCUCACAUUUUUGCUGCACCCGCAUGCCCCAAGGUUGGAGGAGAACAUUCCACAAGGCUGGGAAGAGAAAACUUCAAUGAUGCCAGCUGGUCCCCUGAAGUCACUUCGUCGUGGCCUCGCUGACCCUGCGAAGGACAGUGACCCAAGUUUGACCGCAGAGACAGAACGCAGUGUUUGUUUCGCAGGUUGCUGCAGUUCCAAUCCGUAAUUAAAUACCGAUGUGCGCUACUGCCCUCUUCUGGACAGAGACAGAAUCUUUAACUACCAUGGGGUCUAAUCCAAGUGGAAAGAAAAAAAUCUGAUUUUAAGAGAUUUUAUAUAUAUAUAUGAAAUAUUAAAGCUACUAAGAGUAAUAAAAUAUGAAUUGGAUAAUAAUUCU